rnacentral:rRNA from 1 species
GGAAGGGGUGUAUUUAUUAGAUAAAAAACCAACGCCCUUCGGGGCUCCUUGGUGAAUCAUAAUAACUUAACGAAUCGCAUGGCCUUGCGCCGGCGAUGGUUCAUUCAAAUUUCUGCCCUAUCAACUUUCGAUGGUAGGAUAGUGGCCUACCAUGGUGGCAACGGGUAACGGGGAAUUAGGGUUCGAUUCCGGAGAGGGAGCCUGAGAAACGGCUACCACAUCCAAGGAAGGCAGCAGGCGCGCAAAUUACCCAAUCCCGAUACGGGGAGGUAGUGACAAUAAAUACUGAUACGGGGCUCUUUCGGGUCUCGUAAUUGGAAUGAGAACAAUUUAAAUCCCUUAACGAGGAACAAUUGGAGGGCAAGUCUGGUGCCAGCAGCCGCGGUAAUUCCAGCUCCAAUAGCGUAUAUUAAAGUUGUUGCAGUUAAAAAGCUCGUAGUUGAACCUUGGGCCUGGCUGGCCGGUCCGCCUCACCGCGAGUACUGGUCCGGCUGGGCCUUUCCUUCUGGGGAACUCAUGGCCUUCACUGGCUGUGGGGGGAACCAGGACUUUUACUGUGAAAAAAUUAGAGUGUUCAAAGCAGGCCUUUGCUCGAAUACAUUAGCAUGGAAUAAUAGAAUAGGACGUGCGGUUCUAUUUUGUUGGUUUCUAGGACCGCCGUAAUGAUUAAUAAGGGAUAGUCCGGGGCGUCAGUAUUCAGCUGUCAAAAGUGAAAUUCUUGGGAUUUCUGAAA